rnacentral:rRNA from 1 species
CCCAAGCGACUGUUUACCAAAAACAUAGGUUUCUGCUAAGUCGCAAGACGAUGUAUAGGAGCUGACGCCUGCCCGGUGCUGGAAGGUUAAGGGGAUCUGUUAGAGCAAUCGAAGCAGUGAACUUAAGCCCCAGUAAACGGCGGCCGUAACUAUAACGGUCCUAAGGUAGCGAAAUUCCUUGUCGGGUAAGUUCCGACCCGCACGAAAGGCGUAACGAUUUGGGCACUGUCUCAACAACAGACUCGGUGAAAUUGUAAUUCCGGUGAAGAUGCCGGAUACCUGCGACAGGACGGAAAGACCCCAUGGAGCUUUACUGUAGCUUGACAUUGGGUCUUGGUACUACAUGUACAGGAUAGGUGGGAGGCUUUGAAACCAGGACGCCAGUUUUGGCGGAGCCAUCCUUGGGAUACCACCCUUGUAGUACUGGGACUCUAACCAUAGGCCAUGAAUCUGGUCUUGGGACACUGUCAGGUGGGCAGUUUGACUGGGGCGGUCGCCUCCCAAAAGGUAACGGAGGCGCUCAAAGGUUCUCUCAGUACGGUCGGAAAUCGUACGUAGAGUGUAAAGGCAAAAGAGAGCUUGAUUGCAAGACAUACAGGUCGAGCAAGGAUGAAAAUCGGACUUAGUGAUCCGGUGGUUCUGCGUGGAAGGGCCAUCGCUCAACGGAUAAAAGCUACCCUGGGGAUAACAGGCUUAUCUCCCCCAAGAGUCCACAUCGACGGGGAGGUUUGGCACCUCGAUGUCGGCUCAUCACAUCCUGGGGCUGUAGUAGGUCCCAAGGGUUGGGCUGUUCGCCCAUUAAAGUGGUACGCGAGCUGGGUUCAGAACGUCGUGAGACAGUUCGGUCCCUAUCCGUCGCAGGCGUAGGAAAUUUGAGAAGACCUGUCCUUAGUACGAGAGGACCGGGAUGGACGUACCUCUGGUGUACCAGUUGUCCUGCCAAGGGCAUGGCUGGGUAGCUAUGUACGGAAUGGAUAAGCGCUGAAAGCAUCUAAGCGCGAAGCCAACUUCAAGAUAAGAUUUCCCACCGCAAGGGUAAGACCCCAGAAAGACUAUCUGGUUGAUAGGUCGAAGGUGUAAGUGCAG